rnacentral:rRNA from 1 species
GACGAACGCUGGCGGCGUGCCUAAUACAUGCAAGUCGAGCGCAGGAAAUCGACGGAACCCUUCGGGGGGAAGUCGACGGAAUGAGCGGCGGACGGGUGAGUAACACGUAAAGAACCUGCCCUCAGGUCUGGGAUAACCACGAGAAAUCGGGGCUAAUCACGGAUGGGUCAUCGGACCGCAUGGUCCGAGGAUGAAAGGCGCUUCGGCGUCGCCUGGGGAUGGGUUUGCGGUGCAUUAGCUAGUUGGUGGGGUAAUGGCCCAUCAAGGCGACGAUGCAUAGCCGACCUGAGAGGGGGAUCGGCCACACUGGGACUGAGACACGGCCCAGACUCCUACGGGAGGCAGCAGUAGGGAAUCUUCCACAAUGGACGAAAGUCUGAUGGAGCAACGCCGCGUGAACGAUGAAGGCCUUCGGGUCGUAAAGUUCUGUUGUAAGGGAAGAACAAGUGCCGCAGGCAAUGGCGGCACCUUGACGGUACCUUGCGAGAAAGCCACGGCUAACUACGUGCCAGCCGCCGCAGUAA